AUGCAAGUCGAACGGAAGUCGUUAUAAAAGGAGAGAAGAUUUAUCGGAUUGAAUUUUAUAACAAUGGCUUUAGUGGCGGACUGGUGAGUAACGCGUAAGGAACCUACCUAUUAGAGGGGAACAACAAUGAGAAAUCAUUGCUAAUACCGCAUAUGCCAUAACUACCGCAUGGUAGAAGUGGGAAAGGAGUAAUUCGCUGAUAGAUGGCCUUGCGUCUGAUUAGUUAGUUGGUGGGGUAACGGCCUACCAAGACGACGAUCAGUAGCCGGACUGAGAGGUUGAACGGCCACAUUGGGACUGAGAUACGGCCCAGACUCCUACGGGAGGCAGCAGUCGGGAAUAUUGCGCAAUGGAGGAAACUCUGACGCAGUGACGCCGCGUGCAGGAAGAAGGUUUUCGGAUUGUAAACUGCUUUAGACAGGGAAGAGAAAGGACAGUACCUGUAGAAUAAGCUCCGGCUAACUACGUGCCAGCAGCCGCGGUAAUACGUAGGGAGCGAGCGUUAUCCGGAUUUAUUGGGUGUAAAGGGUGCGUAGACGGGAAUACAAGUUAGUUGUGAAAUACCUCGGCUUAACUGAGGAACUGCAACUAAAACUAUAUUUCUUGAGUACAGGAGAGGUAAGUGGAAUUCCUAGUGUAGCGGUGAAAUGCGUAGAUAUUAGGAGGAACACCAGUGGCGAAGGCGACUUACUGGACUGAAACUGACGUUGAGGCACGAAAGUGUAGGGAGCAAACAGGAUUAGAUACCCUGGUAGUCCACACCGUAAACGAUGGAUACUAGGUGUAGGAGAUAUUAAGUCUUCUGUGCCGUCGCAAACGCAGUAAGUAUCCCACCUGGGGAGUACGGCCGCAAGGUUGAAACUCAAAGGAAUUGACGGGGGCCCGCA
rnacentral:rRNA from 1 species